CAAUAGCGUAUAUUAAAGUUGUUGCAGUUAAAAAGCUCGUAGUUGGAUUUCUGGUGGGAGCGAUCGGUCUGGCGCUUAGCGCGAGUACUUGCAUCGUCUCCGGCCAUCCUUGGGGAGAGUCUGUCUGGCAUUAAGUUGUCGGGCAGAGGAUCCUCAUCGUUUACUGUGAAAAAAUUAGAGUGUUCAAAGCAGGCUUAUGCCGUUGAAUAUAUUAGCAUGGAAUAAUAAGAUAGGACUUUGGUACUAUUUUGUUGGUUUGCGCACCAAAGUAAUGAUUAAUAGGGACAGUUGGGGGUAUUCGUAUUCCGCUGUCAGAGGUGAAAUUCUUGGAUUUACGGAAGACGAACUACUGCGAAAGCAUUUACCAAGGAUGUUUUCAUUAA
rnacentral:rRNA from 1 species